AACGCACCUUGCGCUCCUUGGUAUUCCGAGGAGCAUGCCUGUUUGAGUGUCAUGAAACUCUCAACCUUCAACUUUUUUAUUAAGGCUGAAGGCUUGGACUUGAGCGUUGCUGGUUUUUACUAACCGGCUCGCUUGAAAUGAAUUAGCAGAUCCUUUUUGUAAUCGGUUCCACUCGACGUGAUAAGUAUUUCGCCGAGGACAUACGAAAGUAUGGCCGAGAUAAAGAAAGUCUUUAGAUCCGCUUCUAAUUCUUAGAUAGAGCUUGCUCUACUAAACCCUAUUUUAUGAUCUGGCCUCAAAUCAGGUAGGACUACCCGCUGAACUUAA
rnacentral:misc_RNA from 1 species